UACAGAGGUCUCAAGCGUUGUUCGGAUUCAUUGGGCGUAAAGGGUGCGUAGGCGGCGCGGUAAGUCGGGUGUGAAAUUUCGAGGCUUAACUUCCGAAACUGCAUUCGAUACUGCCGUGCUUGAGGACUGGAGAGGAGACUGGAAUUUACGGUGUAGCGGUGAAAUGCGUAGAUAUCGUAAGGAAGACCAGUGGCGAAGGCGGGUCUCUGGACAGUUCCUGACGCUGAGGCACGAAGUCAGGGGAGCAAACGGG
rnacentral:rRNA from 1 species